CACGUAGGGACCAAGCGUUGUUCGGAUUUACUGGGCGUAAAGGGCGCGUAGGCGGCGCGGUAAGUCACUUGUGAAAUCUCUGAGCUUAACUCAGAACGGCCAAGUGAUACUGCAGUGCUAGAGUGUGGAAGGGGCAAUCGGAAUUCUUGGUGUAGCGGUGAAAUGCGUAGAUAUCAAGAGGAACACCUGAGGUGAAGACGGGUUGCUGGGCCAACACUGACGCUGAGGCGCGAAAGCCAGGGGAGCAAACGGG
rnacentral:rRNA from 1 species